rnacentral:ncRNA from 1 species
UAUAAGAUGAGAAGACCCUGUGGAGCUUACGAUAAUAACUUAAAUAAAAUUAUUUGAUGCUCCUAAGGUAUUAAACUCAUAAAAAACUUUUAAGUUAAAUCUUUGGUUUGGGUGACCCGGGAGCAAAAGAAAACCUCUGAAUGAUAUAACUGAGAUCAACCAGUCUAAGUGCCAAAAGCCAGUUACCCCUGGGGUAACAGCACAAUCCUAUUUAAGAGUCCAUAUCGACAAUUAGGGUUUACGACCUCGAUGUUGGAUCAGGACACCCAAAUGGUGCAACUGCUAUUAAAGAUUCAUUUAUUCAAUGAUUAAAGUCCUAUGUGAUCUGAGUUCAGACCGGAGAAAUCCAGGUUGGUUUCUAUCUAUA